GACGAACGCUGGCGGCGUGCUUAACACAUGCAAGUCGAACGGAAAGGCCCUGCUUUUGUGGGGUGCUCGAGUGGCGAACGGGUGAGUAACACGUGAGUAACCUGCCCUUGACUUUGGGAUAACUUCAGGAAACUGGGGCUAAUACCGGAUAGGAGCUCCUGCUGCAUGGUGGGGGUUGGAAAGUUUCGGCGGUUGGGGAUGGACUCGCGGCUUAUCAGCUUGUUGGUGGGGUAGUGGCUUACCAAGGCUUUGACGGGUAGCCGGCCUGAGAGGGUGGCCGGCCACCUUGGGCCUGAGGUACGGCCCAGACUCCUACGGUAGGCAGCAGUGGGGAAUAUUGCACAAUGGGCGGAAGCCUGAUGCAGCAACGCCGCGUGCGGGAUGACGGCCUUCGGGUUGUAAACCGCUUUCGCCUGUGACGAAGCGUGAGUGACGGUAAUGGGUAAAGAAGCACCGGCUAACUACGUG
rnacentral:rRNA from 1 species